rnacentral:rRNA from 1 species
UAAGGGCGCACGGUGGAUGCCUUGGCACUAGAAGCCGAUGAAGGACGUUACUAACGACGAUAUGCUUUGGGGAGCUGUAAGUAAGCUUUGAUCCAGAGAUUUCCGAAUGGGGAAACCCAGCAUGAGUUAUGUCAUGUUAUCGAUAUGUGAAUACAUAGCAUAUCAGAAGGCACACCCGGAGAACUGAAACAUCUUAGUACCCGGAGGAAGAGAAAGAAAAUUCGAUUCCCUUAGUAGCGGCGAGCGAAACGGGAAGAGCCCAAACCAACAAGCUUGCUUGUUGGGGUUGUAGGACACUCUAUACGGAGUUACAAAGGACGACAUUAGACGAAUCAUCUGGAAAGAUGAAUCAAAGAAGGUAAUAAUCCUGUAGUCGAAAAUGUUGUCUCUCUUGAGUGGAUCCUGAGUACGACGGAGCACGUGAAAUUCCGUCGGAAUCUGGGAGGACCAUCUCCUAAGGCUAAAUACUCUCUAGUGACCGAUAGUGAACCAGUACCGUGAGGGAAAGGUGAAAAGCACCCCGGAAGGGGAGUGAAAUAGAACCUGAAACCGUGUGCUUACAAGUAGUCAGAGCCCGUUAAUGGGUGAUGGCGUGCCUUUUGUAGAAUGAACCGGCGAGUUACGAUUUGAUGCAAGGUUAAGCAGUAAAUGUGGAGCCGUAGCGAAAGCGAGUCUGAAUAGGGCGUUUAGUAUUUGGUCGUAGACCCGAAACCAGGUGAUCUACCCUUGGUCAGGUUGAAGUUCAGGUAACACUGAAUGGAGGACCGAACCGACUUACGUUGAAAAGUGAGCGGAUGAACUGAGGGUAGCGGAGAAAUUCCAAUCGAACCUGGAGAUAGCUGGUUCUCUCCGAAAUAGCUUUAGGGCUAGCCUCAAGUGAUGAUUAUUGGAGGUAGAGCACUGUUUGGACGAGGGGCCCCUCUCGGGUUACCGAAUUCAGACAAACUCCGAAUGCCAAUUAAUUUAACUUGGGAGUCAGAACAUGGGUGAUAAGGUCCGUGUUCGAAAGGGAAACAGCCCAGACCACCAGCUAAGGUCCCAAAAUAUAUGUUAAGUGGAAAAGGAUGUGGCGUUGCCCAGACAACUAGGAUGUUGGCUUAGAAGCAGCCAUCAUUUAAAGAGUGCGUAAUAGCUCACUAGUCGAGUGACACUGCGCCGAAAAUGUACCGGGGCUAAACAUAUUACCGAAGCUGUGGAUUGUCCUUUGGACAAUGGUAGGAGAGCGUUCUAAGGGCGUUGAAGCAUGAUCGUAAGGACAUGUGGAGCGCUUAGAAGUGAGAAUGCCGGUGUGAGUAGCGAAAGACGGGUGAGAAUCCCGUCCACCGAUUGACUAAGGUUUCCAGAGGAAGGCUCGUCCGCUCUGGGUUAGUCGGGUCCUAAGCUGAGGCCGACAGGCGUAGGCGAUGGAUAACAGGUUGAUA